GCACCAGUUUAAAUCUUUCUCCAACUCCGUUCAUCUACCAUGACCCUUCAAGCUGAUUCAGCAGCAGCACCACCACCACUACCACCACCGGAUUCAGCAGCCACCAACGGCAUCUCACCCACAGCAGAGGAAACCUCACAACCGCCGCGUCCAACCCCGCCGCCAGAACUUCGCGUCCCAAUAUGGUGGCCGGAGGACGGCACCCUCAGCAUGGAUUGGGUGGAGAAUCUGAUGCGGUGCUUCGAUUGGUGCUCUCGGAACGUCCCUCCGUCGGAGCUCCCUUCGGUUCUCCCCGUCGAAGUCUUCGACUCGCUCAUCCUCGUCGCCUCCAAGAUGCUCCACAAGGAGCCCAAUUGUGUCCCCGUAGACCCCUUCCGCCCUACCCUCGAUGAUAAUAGCACUCCCUCCGACUCCGCUGCCGCUGCCUCUGUUGUCGUCGUCGGCGAUGUUCACGGCCAACUGCAUGAUCUUCUCUUCCUCCUCCGAGAUGCCGGGUUCCCCUCGCGGGAUCGAAUCUUUGUUUUCAACGGGGAUUACGUGGAUCGGGGAGCGUGGGGGCUCGAAACCUUCUUGCUCUUGUUGGCUUGGAAGGUAUUCAUGCCACAUAACAUAUAUUUGCUACGAGGGAAUCACGAAUCAAAAUACUGUACAUCGGUUUAUGGUUUUGAGAAAGAAGUAAUGGUUAAGUAUGGUGAUAAAGGUAAGCAUGUGUACCGGAAAUGUUUGGGGUGCUUUGAAGGUCUUCCUUUGGCUUCUAUUAUAGCAGGGUGUGUAUACACAGCUCAUGGAGGACUUUUCCGCAGUGUAACUGUGAUGCCAUCAAAGAGGUUAAAAGGGAAGAAGAACCGUAAGAUUAAUGUUAAUCAUGAGAGCAAAAUUCUAUCUCUUGGUUCCUUGGAAGAAUUGUGUAAGGCUCGACGAUCAGUUUUGGAUCCUCCUUGGGAAGGCCCAAACUUGAUUCCUGGUGAUGUUUUGUGGUCUGAUCCAUCCAAAAAUCCUGGUCUUGCUCCAAACAAAGAAAGAGGCAUUGGCUUGAUGUGGGGUCCCGAUUGUACUGAAGAAUUUUUGAAGAAGUACCAACUAAAGUUGAUCAUCAGGUCACAUGAAGGUCCUGAUGCUAGGGAAAAAAGGGAUGGUUUUGAGGGAAUGGAUGAAGGUUACACUAUUGAUCAUGUUGUAGAUUCUGGAAAGCUGGUCACUGUGUUUAGUGCUCCAGAUUACCCACAGUUUCAGGCCUCUAUCUCACACUCUCCCUGCCUUGUUUAUUCUGCCACACGCAUGCUUAAGUUUGCCUCAGUCUCUGUUGUUGAUGCACUAAAAUUUGCUUCAUAAGCUAGUGGUGAUGGUCAUGCUGUUAGUUCAAACUCAGCUUAUGCUUGCACUUCUGGUACUAGUUCUGCAACUAGUGUCCUUUAGAAUGCCAAGGAAUGCUCCUGGAAACACGAGUGGCGUGGCAUGGAAACCUGGGAUUUCAGUUGAAGAAACUAGAAAGAUUCAAUGCAAAUAUUGUCCAAAGGUUGUAAAAGGAGGUGCUUAUGAGUUGAAGCAUCACUUAUUUCAAACAAGUAAGGGUGUUGAAGCUUGCAAAGCUGUUAUUGAUGAUGUGAGGAAGGAAGUGUGGGACAUUGUCUAAGGUGUGAAAGCAAAACUGAACAAAAGAUCAACUUCAAUAUAACAGGAAUCUUGAAAUUAGUGAAAAAAGAAAAAAGAGCCAUAAAGUGGUUGAUGUUGAGAAGUCUGGAAAUAUUUUUAGAAAAAAGGGUAUGAGCACCCAAGCCACAAUCAAUUUCUUGUAUAAGAGGAAUGAAAGAGAGGAAACUUGUUUAGCAAUUGUGAGAUUUUUCUACAAUGAUGCCAUACCAUUCAAUGUGUGGCAAGAGGUGAAGAAUUCCAUAUUAUGUGUGAAUUAAUUCCUAAACAUGGCCAAGGAUUUAUUCCAGCAUCCUAUCACAAGAUUAGAGUGAAGUAUUUGAAGAAAGAAUUAGGGUUGACUAUGAAAGAAAGUUGGGUGCACCAUAAUGACUAAUGAGUGCAUUGACAGGAAGACUAUAUUGAACCUCUUGGGGAAUAGCCCUAAAGGAAUGGUAUUUUUGAGGUCUAUUGAUGCCUCUAAAAUUGAAAAAACAUCAUGAAGUCUCUAAGAUGCCUGAUGAAGUUGAAGAGAUUGGUGAGGAAAAUGUAGUUCAAGUUGUGACUGACAAUGAGCUGUUGGGGAGAUGUAGAUGCAUAGAAGGAAAAAAAUUUGUUGGGUGGAGGACUUUGAGGAGAUAUACCCAUUUAUGAGGAGACUAUUCCAAAGGGAUAGGAAAAUUGCUACUUUUAUCUGUUCGAGGACUUCUCUCAUUUCAUUUCUUUGUGGCAACGCUUCCCAAAAGGCAAAGAUUGAAUGAAGCCUCUCAUUAUGUUCUUGAAAAUGCAACACAGGUGAGGUAUAACAACAAAGGCGCCUAUGUUAUCCUUGAACCCCCGAAUUUUGACAAUCCUAUAUUUCAUGGAUUUUCAGCAGUUACUCCAAGGCCGAAG